rfam:Ictidomys tridecemlineatus contig047282, whole genome shotgun sequence.
GGGGUUAUAGCUCAGUUGGUAGAGUGUUUGCCUAAGCAUGCACAAGGCCCCGGGUUCAAUCCCCAGUACCACCA